GACGAACGCUGGCGGCGUGCUUAACACAUGCAAGUCGAACGGAAAGGCCCUGCUUUUGUGGGGUGCUCGAGUGGCGAACGGGUGAGUAACACGUGAGUAACCUGCCCUUGACUUUGGGAUAACUUCAAGAAACUGGGGCUAAUACCGGAUAGGAGCUCCUGCUGCAUGGUGGGGGUUGGAAAGUUUCGGCGGUUGGGGAUGGACUCGCGGCUUAUCAGCUUGUUGGUGGGGUAGUGGCUUACCAAGGCUUUGACGGGUAGCCGGCCUGAGAGGGUGACCGGCCACAUUGGGACUGAGAUACGGCCCAGACUCCUACGGGAGGCAGCAGUGGGGAAUAUUGCACAAUGGGCGGAAGCCUGAUGCAGCAACGCCGCGUGCGGGAUGACGGCCUUCGGGUUGUAAACCGCUUUCGCCUGUGACGAAGCGUGAGUGACGGUAAUGGGUAAAGAAGCACCAGCUAACUACGUG
rnacentral:rRNA from 1 species